UACGUAGGGUGCAGGCGUUAAUCGGAAUUACUGGGCGUAAAGCGUGCGCAGGCGGUUUGCUAAGACAGGUGUGAAAUCCCCGGGCUUAACCUGGGAACUGCGCUUGUAACUGGCGAGCUAGAGUGUGGCAGAGGGGGGUGGAAUUCCAGGUGUAGCAGUGAAAUGCGUAGAGAUCUGGAGGAACACCGAUGGCGAAGGCAGCCCCCUGGGCUAACACUGACGCUCAUGCACGAAAGCGUGGGGAGCAAACAGG
rnacentral:rRNA from 1 species